rnacentral:rRNA from 1 species
CGUAGGGUGCGAGCGUUAAUCGGAAUUACUGGGCGUAAAGCGUGCGCAGGCGGUUUUGUAAGACAGAUGUGAAAUCCCCGGGCUCAACCUGGGACCUGCAUUUGUGACUGCAAGGCUAGAGUACGGUAGAGGGGGUUGGAAUUCCGCGUGUAGCAGUGAAAUGCGUAGAUAUGCGGAGGAACACCGAUGGCGAAGGCAAUCCCCUGGACCUGUACUGACGCUCAUGCACGAAAGCGUGGGGAGCAAACAGGAUUAGAUACCCUGGUAGUCCACGCCCUAAACGAUGUCAACUGGUUGUUGGGUCUUUACUGACUCAGUAACGAAGCUAACGCGUGAAGUUGACCGCCUGGGGAGUACGGCCGCAAGGUUG